rnacentral:rRNA from 1 species
UAAGGAAUAUUGGUCAAUGGGCGCAAGCCUGAACCAGCCAUGCCGCGUGCAGGAAGACGGCCCUCCGGGUUGUAAACUGCUUUUGUACGGGAAUAAACCUUUCUUCGUGAAGAAAGCUGAAUGUACCGUAAGAAUAAGGAUCGGCUAACUCCGUGCCAGCAGCCGCGGUAAUACGGAGGAUCCAAGCGUUAUCCGGAUUUAUUGGGUUUAAAGGGUGCGUAGGCGGCCUGUUAAGUCAGGGGUGAAAGACGGUGGCUCAACCAUCGCAGUGCCCUUGAUACUGAUGGGCUUGAAUGGACUAGAGGUAGGCGGAAUGUGACAAGUAGCGGUGAAAUGCAUAGAUAUGUCACAGAACACCGAUUGCGAAGGCAGCUUACUAUGGUCCUAUUGACGCUGAGGCACGAAAGCGUGGGGAUCGAACA